UGCCACCUGCCCGCCCUGUCUCCGGGGCCGUGUGGAGGCCAGGACCGGCUGGCACGGGGCGGGCGUCCUCAGAGGAUCGCGGGCGCACAGGGUACACGGUAGAGGGGCUGGCUUUCCCGCCAGAUAAGAGCGCCGGAACCGGCCAGGCGCAGGACGCCCGCGGCGCUUCCGCUCAACUCAGAGAGCUUUCUCCUGGCGACGGUCCCCUUCAGAGUCCCCUGAACAACCCCGCCCGGCCGCAUCCCUUGCAAACUUGUUCCCAGGAGUCCCUUUCUGCCCCCGCCGGGGAAGGCCCAGCUCAGCCCCGGCCUGAUGCCACAGCCGAGCUGACACUCAAGGCCCCCAGCUCCCCCAGCCCCGCUGAGCGGGAGGGGCCCGGGUGGGGGACAGAGCAAAGAUGCUCUGAAGAGGGGGAUGAACUCGACUUGCAGUAGACUCCAAGGCAAGAGAAAAAUCAGAGAAACAUUUGAGCGUAGAAAGAGUCCACCCUGGGUUCAAAUCCCAGCUCUGGUAUUGACGAUAUUUCCGUUUCCUCCUCCAUAAAAUUUAGGGGACAAUAAGAGAAAGAAAACAGCUGUGCCUACCUACUCCAGAUCCUGGCACACAAGAAACAAGAAAAUAAAAGCAUGUCAAGAUUUCCCUCCAGAAAGCUGAAAUCCAGGCACCCAUACCUCCCACCCCAUUAUCCUACCACAGUCAGAAUCUGUGGAGACACUGGUUACAUGGUGAGCAGGAAUAGCUCAGCACUGAAAGUGGGAAACUGCUGUCCCAACCCCUACCAGUUUCUCUGCAGAUGUGCUGUGUGACCCAGGACAAGAUGCUUUGCCCUCCAAGCUGGUGAAAACGAAGAUGAUGCUCCCUUCAUCUUAGGCUGAAAUAGAACACCAACAGAGAUGUGGCGAGAUGAUGAUCAUCCUUCCAAAUUUUCUAUUAGACUGGGUUAGCUACAUUUAAAAAUAAGAACAAACCAAAAAUAAUCCUCAGAAAAGCUUCAUGAAGUUCAAAAGCGCCAUUGCUCAUGUUGCCUCCAAAGGGGCAAGAAUUUUGCCAUUGCCACCCCUGUAUUCCCCUCCUAAAACAGAACCUGGCAUAUAGUAGGUGCUCAAUAAAUACUGGUUGAAUUGA